rnacentral:lncRNA from 1 species
AGAUAGUGUGAUGUCUUUACUGAGAUAGUGUAGCUCAUCCCUUACUUAACCAUUUCAGAUCAAGAAGACGUGGUUCCCGAGCCCGUUCCACAGGAAGACGGCGAGUUAGACGCCUAAGGACUUUAUAUCUCUAUUUAUAGUGUUUAUUUCGAGUAUCUCUUUUAUUUAGCUUAUUCUUUCAUGUUUUGAGUACAUUUUUGGUUAUUGUGUAAGGGAUGUUAAUCAAAAUUUUUAU